rfam:Morus notabilis contig9485, whole genome shotgun sequence.
AGAUAUGAUGAUACAUUUUGACGCCCAGUCUUACUUGCAUCUUUUGAUGUAGUAUGGUGUCUCAGUAAUAGACUAUCUGAUCU